CUGUUGUUUUCUUUUCAGAUGUUGUUCAGUUGAAGUUCAUUCAGAAUGUAUCACUGCAUGCCAGAAACAAAUGGAAGGACUGAAUUGGAGAAUAACUCAGGUUGAAGAACUUGCUGAACUCAGAAGUACCAACAACAUGGGCAGGGCAGGGAAGUUGUUGUUGCUGUUCUGAAGAAAACUAGCAAACCAGUGGGGAGAUGCAGCUCAGCUGGAUAAAAUAUGCUGUUAAAUCAAGGAGUCCAGGUUUCAAAUUAGGCAAAAUUCCCACUAAGUCUGUCAAAAGCAGUUUGUUUAAGAAAGACCUAAUUGUUUCUGCAGUUCACUGGAGACCUUUCUUACUUACCUGACUGAAAAUAACCUGGCCUUUUAAAUUCCUGUUUUUUGAUCUGUCUGCUGGACUUCAGCUGUGAAGGUUUUGUGUCCAGGUACUCUAACAUUGCAGUGAUACGCAUUAAUGUAUCUCCUUGGCAACACUAAUACAAACUGAUUAAAAACUAAUAUAAUCAGA